rnacentral:tRNA from 1 species
CUCACAGGCUUUUUUGGGGGUUUAGCUCAGUUGGUUAGAGCAUCGGCUUUGCAAGCCGGGGGUCAAGGGUUCGAAUCCCUUAACCUCCAUUUAUUUGUUUUUAAAUAAGUGUGAAUUAAGCCUUUUAAGAAAUGUCUUGUAUUAAAAAAGAAGCUAUUCAAACGUAUUGUUGCUUUUAAAGUGUUAUUUUUUGAUUUAUUUAGGUGAAUUUAGUAUUUUAUAUUGAGUUAACAAAUUUUUUCAUGGGCUUAAAAGGUAUGUUUUUAUGUUAUUUGUUAUCCUGAUGAAUUUCUUUUUAUGAAUUCCAAGACUUGAUUACAUGCAAAAACUUUAUCUUUAAUUAUUUUAUUCAUAUUAUCAAGAACCUUAUCAUGAAUCAACCUAAU